AUUUGUGUAAAAAUGCCCUGAAAUCAGAUUUAAAUAAUAAUAUGAAUUUAAUUAAAACUUCAUAUUCAAAGACAUUACUUAGAGUUUUGUUAGAAAAGAUUAUUAAACGUAAAAUUGAUACUAGCCAAAAUAACUGUGUUUGUGAUGACUGCAUCAAAACAUUAAAUGAUUUUGACUACACUAGUAAGUGUUUUGAGAUGAUUCGUGGGAAAAUUCGAAAUUAUUUUAAAAUGGACUUUUCUACCGUGAAUGUGUUUUGUCAGACUGAUAUUUCUUUCAUAAAUAUCAAAGUGAAAAAAGCAAGUUCAAACACUGAUUUAAAAUCAUCUGGAUACGAUAGUAAUGCAAUUAGUAUAUCUAAUUUUGAUACUGAUUUUUUAAGAAAUAAUCUAAAUGAAUGUUGCAAUGUAAAUAACAAAAGAAAUAUUGACAAAGGUAAUAUAGAGGAUUUAUCAAUACUUAAGAAAACAGGACAGUGUUCGAAUCAGUUUUUUGAAUCAAAUGCAGCUGAUGAAAUUCAGAGUAAACAAGUUGAUGAAACAUUGCAGGGGUAUUCUGAAGGAUCAAGAACCCUAAGUAAAUCUUUCAUUUGUGAAAUUUGUGGUCAGUCAUAUAGACAUAGUCAUGCAUUAAAAAUUCAUCUUGAUAUGCAUAAAGGUAUCUGUCCUUUUAUUUGCCCAUAUUGUAAUAAAUCCUUCACACAAAAGGCUGCUCUGAAGAGGCACCUUCCCAUGCAUACUGGAGAAACUCCACAUAUUUGUGAUAUUUGUGGUAAAGGGUUCAAACAUCAUACAUCAUUUCAUAUUCAUAAACUAUCUCAUACAGGAGAGAAAAAGUAUAAAUGCACUUACUGUAAAAGAUGCUUUUUGUCAACUUCACAUUUAAGAAGGCAUUUAAAAAUCCACACCAACGAAAAAAGUCAUGUUUGUUCGAUUUGUGAAAGGAGUUUUGCUGAAAAGUAUAACCUUUUGGCUCACCAAAAGCUACAUUCUUCUCAGCGAAAUAAUUACCAGACUGCUACAAGUGGCAGCCUUCGAUGUCAAGUGUGCCAGCAGGUAUUUAAAGUAAAGAAUAAAUUUCUGAGGCAUCUUUCUCAGCAACAUCACAUCGUUACGGAUAUUGAUGUUAAUUCUUUGGAAAACAUUUUCAGAACUGUAUCAGAGACGCAAGUAAAAUAAGGAGUUUAUUCUGCAUCAAAGUUUCAACAAGUGACGACUUUAACAAUCAAGAUUAAACUUCCUUCCUUGGAAGGAAAACAGCGACACUAUUCUUAGACUUAAGAAAAGCGUUUGAUACUGUCGUCCAACAUGGGAAAUUAUUGCAAAUGCUUGAAAACGAAAGAAUUACGAAGCCAUUCUCAAAAAUGCUUCCAGUCCUACUUGCAAACAAGAAAACAGUAUCUAUGUGACAAUAAAUGGACAUAACAGUGCAAAAAAGGUAACUAAGGCAGGUGCCCCUCAGAGAUCGACCCUAUCACCCGGUUUAUUCAUAACCUUCACUAAUGAUCUAGGGUGAACCCCACUAAAAGGGCAGAUGGUCAUGCUUGUAGAUGAUGCAACGGUAAUAUUUAGCGAAGACCGAAUAACAUUGAUUAAAAACAUAAAAACCGACAUGGACACCAUCACCAAGCAUCUGUAAGGCAAUGAAUUGCACCUAAACAUUGAUAAAAUUACCUAUAUAAUAUUCAACAAACACACCAGAAAAUCAAUAAUAGGCACAACAACAAUCUACGGUAUAAAGGAAACAAAAUAAAACAAUAUUCCUGGGACUCCAUAUUAAUUAAAAAUUAGACUCGACAAACCAUAUUAAAAUGAUACAAAAAAAUAUCAUCAUGCACUAGACCAGCAGCCUUACAAUUACAUUCAACAAGCAUCAAUGAAAUAUACAAAAACAUGGGAAUACAAUAGAAGACAUAACCAAACUCGAAGUGUGCAUCUUUACAUGGAUGCCAAAGUUUGUAGCAUUAAUCAAAAUUGCUGUUUAAACAUAUUGAAAUACAAAUAUUAAAACCAAGUUAAUAAUAUUUCAUAAAUCAAGUGGAAAACCGACGAGGAGACUCCUAUCUCCACAAAGUGAUAUCUCUGAGAAGAAAGAUGUUGAUUGCUGAGACUUGCUAUGCCUUUCUAGGACUAAGAAUAUUCACUAUUUUAUACUGACACUUGCCUAUUUAUCUGUGAUCUGAUAGAAAAAUUAAGAGUGAUAAACUUGUUAAUUUUACAAUUGCAAUACAUACAAUAUACUUAUUCCCAUUUUUAUCAUACAAAUAAGAUAAGAUUAAAACUUUGUUAAUUGUGUAACUGCCAUAACAAAUAAGUUUAAUACUUUAGUUCUGGCAAUUGCACAUAUGGGUACAUAUGUGUAAAGAAUUGAUGUUAUUUUGCAUAUACUUGAAAUGCAUAUUUUGAAAGAAUAUUCAAAUUUAAACCAUCAACACAAUAUGAGACAAGCAAACCAUCUAUAUUACAAUCGGAUGAGGACUGAGAAAAUGGACAGGAACACAACAAAAACAAAAGGUUUAGUAGUUCAAAAAAAUGGUAAAAAAAUGUUGAAGAAAAUGACAUACACUGCGGACUCGUCUACGCUAACUAUGGACAUACAAGAUACAAGAGAGAGCAGAGAAGAAAUGAAGAAUAAAGUUUGGUUUAACUAAUAACCGGUGUUUUCUUUGAGAUAAACUAAUUCAAACUAAAUAAUAUAAUAUUGAUAGCC
rnacentral:misc_RNA from 1 species